UACGUAGGGUGCGAGCGUUGUCCGGAAUCAUUGGGCGUAAAGGGCGCGUAGGUGGCCCGGUCAGUCAGUGGUGAAAGCGCGGGGCUCAACUCCGCGUCGGCCAUUGAUACUGCGGGGCUGGAGCACUGUAGAGGCAGGCGGAAUUCCGGGUGUAGCGGUGGAAUGCGUAGAGAUCCGGAAGAACACCGGUGGCGAAGGCGGCCUGCUGGGCAGUUGCUGACACUGAGGCGCGACAGCGUGGGGAGCAAACAGG
rnacentral:rRNA from 1 species